GACGAACGCUGGCGGCGUGCUUAACACAUGCAAGUCGAACGGUGAAGGGAGCUUGCUCCCGGAUCAGUGGCGAACGGGUGAGUAACACGUGAGCAACCUACCCUUGACUCCGGGAUAACAGUUGGAAACAGCUGCUAAUACCGGAUAUGACCUGGAAGGGCAUCCUUCCGGGUGGAAAGCUCCGACGGUCAAGGAUGGGCUCGCGGCCUAUCAGCUUGUUGGUGGGGUAACGGCCCACCAAGGCGACGACGGGUAGCCGGCCUGAGAGGGCGACCGGCCACACUGGGACUGAGAUACGGCCCAGACUCCUACGGGAGGCAGCAGUGGGGAAUAUUGCACAAUGGGCGAAAGCCUGAUGCAGCAACGCCGCGUGCGGGAUGACGGCCUUCGGGUUGUAAACCGCUUUCAGCAGGGACGAAGCUAACGUGACGGUACCUGCAGAAGAAGCACCUGCUAACUACGUGCCAGCCGCCGCCGUAA
rnacentral:rRNA from 1 species